rnacentral:tRNA from 1 species
GCGCCUGUAGCUCAGCAGGAUAGAGCAUCGGACUUCUAAUCCGGGGGUCGGGGGUUCGACUCCUCCCAGGCGCGCCA